GACGAACGCUGGCGGCGUGCUUAACACAUGCAAGUCGAACGAAGUGGCGAACGGGUGAGUAACGCGUAAUCAACCUGCCCUUCAGAGGGGGACAACAGUUGGAAACGACUGCUAAUACCGCAUACUGAAGGAGGGGAUUGCGUCUGAUUAGCUCGUUGGAGGGGUAACGGCCCACCAAGGCGAUGAUCAGUAGCCGGGCUGGAGGGAUGAACGGCCAAAAUGGGACUGAGACACGGCCCAAACGCCUACGGGGGGCAGCAUGGGGGAAUCUUCCGCAAUGGACGAAAGUCUGACGGAGCAACGCCGGGGGAGUGAUGGAGGCCUUCGGGUUGUAAAGCUCUGUUAAGCGGGACGCGGUACCGGAAUAGAAAGCCACGGCUAACUACGUGCCAGCAGCCGCGGUAAUUC
rnacentral:rRNA from 1 species